ensembl:misc_RNA Y_RNA Y RNA
CACUGGUCCCAGUGCAGUGGUGUUUGCAGCUAAUUGAUCACAACGUUACAGAUUUUGUUUCUUCUCCAUUGCCGCUGCUUCAUUUGACUAGCCUUUA